rnacentral:lncRNA from 1 species
ACAGCCUUAGUGCAACGGCCUACAAAGAAAUUCACAGGUUUGUUAUUUGCCAUAACGAUUACUUAUAUCCUCCUCCAUCCCACCCACCGUCUGGUUCCUUCCUCUUGAGAGUACCACCUGACAUUUGAUACAUUCUUGCUUCGUCUCUCAAAGGUAAAGAACCAGAGGAAGAUAGUUGUCUUUGUACGAGUGCUGCUUCAUCAGUUUCAUGCCCUCCUGGUCCAGAGUUCAAGUCAAGACCAGAUCUAAACCAUUUUGCAUUGUUGCUGCUGUCCGAAACUCCACCAUUGCUACUACCGUUUGGGAGAUUAACAACAUACGGCCUUGGGUAAUUAGAAGGGAUGGCAACUCCUGGACCCAAUAUUUGAGAGUUGACAGGAGGGAAGCAUAGCCUGCCACUUGAUGAAGAGUCCAUGUAUGGUGUUGAAGCACCUGAAAAAUUUGCUGAGGAAAGAGGAAAGCUGGAACCAAAAGGGAACCCAGGAUACUGAAAUGCUGAUGGUGGGAAUGAAACUGCUGGAGAAGACAGUAAAACAGGGCCUCUGUACAUAUCAGGUGUAUAUGAUGAAACUUCAGAUGUUGGACCAACCAUUCUCUGCGGUCCAUUGCCACGUUCAGGCAAGACUUGAGGAAUGCUCAUUGCUGAAUAAUUGUUAACAGCAGGAAACCAAGAUGAGAAGCCAGGCCUUAUUCCACUGAUCAUUGGCUGUGCACUUCGGGAAUUUUGACUAAAACCCAGAGAUGACUCAACAACGUUAACAUCAUCAACAGCAGGUCCAUCGUUUAAAUCAAAAUCCCUACUACCACCAGAAGAUAAGUUUGCCUGUUGAAAAGUUGAAUUCACUCGAUGAACACUGCUUAUUGUAUGAUUAUUCAUAUCAGCUGGAUCAUCAAGUCUGUUUAGAUCAAGAUCCAGAAAUAUUGUUAUAAUGUUUUUCAACACAUUUGUUAAGAAAAUUAAAUAUAUAUAUAUAUUUAAAUUAAAAGAUAUCAAAUUAUAUUAUGAUUUAAGUAGUUAAAAGAUUAUAUAUUAGCAUUAAGGAAAUAUAUUUAAUACAAAUUUUAAAUAAUGAUCCGAAUAAAAAUAUCAUACAUGAAUCAAGGUGAGGUUGUUAACCCAUCCGGAUUUUUAGGAGUGGAUGUUAUAUUAGGAAUGAUAUAUUAUAAAUCUAUAUUAUUAGUAAUAAAUGAAUUAACUAAUUUCUAGUGAGGGUCCAUUUUUAAAAAAAUCAUACAUGAAUCAAAGUUGUGACUUGUGUUUUAAUAUAUAAGAUGUUUAUUUUCGUUAUAAAAAACAUUUAAAACCUUGGCUCCCAUUGUCCCUUUGUAACUUUGAGGCUUUUCUUUUUUAGAGGAUUUCAUGUUAAUUACGUCAUUGGUCUUCUGCGUAUGGCCUUUUUCUUUUGUAUAAUGAAUCAUAUGAUAUAUAGAACUGCAUGAUUAAACAAAACUUGUAAAACUGUGUUUUGAAUAUGAGAAGGUAUUUGUAUAUUACAUUUUAUAGUUUAAUUAUAACUAGUUUCAUUUCGCAGUUUUCGUUUCAUUAAGUAUGUUUAUUUGACAUAUUAAAUCCAUGCUUUGUCAUUUUAUUGUAUUAUUAGUCAGCUAUUUCUUAUAUAUUUUUUGGAAGUGUUGGUGGGAAUGACUUGUAAAAUACUGAAAUAAAAUACAUUUUUCAACUAGCUAGAGAGUAACAAGCCCCGUGGUCCUCCUUGUGAACAACACCUCUCUAAUUAACAGACUUUUGCAUUUUCAUAUUCAUGGUGGUUGCGUCGAUAUAUAGAGUCGUAGGUAUUACUCCAACAAUUAACUUAUCUUUAUAUAUUUAUAUAACUUUUGUUAAUCAUUGAGCUAAGGCUUUUGGUAGAUGUCCUCACAAGGUUUUGAUCCCCAACAUCCAUCUAUAAAUCAUUAUAUAUAUAUAAACACAUGUAAUAUCGAUUAAUUAACAACACUUUUAUUUUCUAAAGCAGAACUGUACAAUCUGUAUCUAUUAACAAACAAAAAUGAAUUAUUUGGUAAGAAUGUUCGAUAUAUAAAAGUUGCUAUGAUUCUUUUGUGAAUCUUGAAUUUUUGUUGCUGGUUGUUGCCAACGAACUCUUGUUGGUCGAGUUUACAUUAUAUUAUGGAGUAAAUUCCAUGAUAAAGUUUUUGAAAAUAUACAGGUCCACAUAAAAGGCCAGGCCAUUUUCUACAAGUAUAAAUAAAAUAACAAAUAUUAUAUAAACAGUUGCAUACCAUACUAUUUUUCUAUUUUAAUUAUAAACAUUAAUUUAUAAUAAUAGUCAAGUAGCAUGAUAAACAUAUUUUUAUAACACAAAAAAAAAAAUUGAUAAAUCUUUCUUAUAAUGUAUUUGUUGAAAUGCUGGUUUCAGUGAUUUUCUAUGGAGAUGUUUUGUUUAAUGAUAUAACAUCCUAAAAUUCUAUAUAAAACUCAUAAUAUGCUAGAACAUCCACAUUAGGAGUAUUUUAGAGUAUCCAAUGAGAACAAAAGAAAAAUAUUGAAAAAGAAGGAAAAUGGUGUGGAAAUGCUAUAAAAGUUUUUUAAAUUAGAUAUGUAAUAUUUUUCUUUUUGAGAAGCCCAUCUUCACAUGUCAUAUUGGUUUAAUUUUUUUUUUAAAUAAAUAGAUAAUCAAAUUUUAAGUAAAAACCAAUGUUGUAUUUGGUUUGAUACUUAUAAGAGUAUCUCACCAUUGAAGAAGUUUUUUAUGCUCUAUAGUCAUAGUAUUUCACAUGGCAUAUCCGAGAGAAACACAAAAAUAACAAAAACAUGCAUUCAACAGUACACAUAUGAAUGAUAUCAUCAGCCAUCUUGACUUGUCACUAUUGCUCAACGUGACUAUUAUUAAAGAAAGACUGCAUAGUAAAUGGUUAUUACCGUGGCGUAAUAAUAUGUAUUGUAACAACUGGUGUUGUGUCAUUAACUCAAGAAGCAAAAGAUGGAUGCUCAUCAUGUGAGUUCACCACCGCUCCUUCAAAACAAAGCCACCAAACACCCAUCUAAACACACUAUAUUUAAUUAUCUCACUCCUCUCAUAUUAAAGUAAUCAUCACCUCACUUUUAUCUCUCUCUCUCUGUUUUAUUCUUCUUCUUGUGAAUGGUGUUGUAGAGAAGAAGAAUGGCUUCAAGUGCUUCAAAGUUCAUCAAAUGUGUAACUGUUGGUGAUGGUGCCGUUGGUAAAACCUGUAUGCUCAUCUGCUACACCAGCAACAAGUUCCCUACUGUGAGUAGUUCGUUAACUACACCUCUCUCUCUCUGAAAUUUUGAUCAAGAAUCUCAUCUGGGUUUCUCAGAUUCACUUGAAAGUUCCAAUCUUUUACUGAAAAUCUUUCUGGGUUUGUCAAAUUUUAGCUUCCCUAUUGCUUAAAGGUUCUUAGAAUUCAUCGGUGUAAUUCAAAGUUAGCUCCUUUUUAUAGGGAUUAUGCAUGAACUAAGAUCCAGCUUUGUGUUUCUCCUAACAACAUCUGGAUUCUUCAGAAUGUUCUUGAAAGUUUCAAUCUUUUACUGAAAAUCUUUCUGGGUUUGUCAAAUUUUAGCUUCCACAUUGCUUAAAGGUUCUUAGAAUUCAUCUGUGUGAUUCAAAGUUAGCUCCUUUACUAGGGGGAUUAUGCAUGAACUAUGAUCCAGAUAUUUGUGUUCUCUUUCUCCUAACAAUCUUUCUUUAGAGUUGAUUUAUGCAAAACUGUGAAUUGGUUGUAAACAGGACUAUGUACCAACGGUUUUUGACAACUUUAGUGCAAACGUUGUAGUUGAAGGAACUACUGUGAACUUAGGGCUAUGGGAUACUGCUGGUAACCAACAUUUCUUUUCUUUUGAUUGAUUUGAGAUAUUGUUGCAUAGACCAAGAUCCUGUUUGGGUUGUGUUUUGUUUUGCAGGGCAAGAAGACUAUAACAGAUUAAGGCCUUUAAGUUACAGAGGAGCAGAUGUUUUCGUCUUGUCUUUCUCAUUGGUCAGCCGAGCUAGCUAUGAAAAUGUUUUUAAAAAGGUUUUGAUUCAUGCAUCUCUCUUUGAACUCAAUAAGACUUGUAACAAUGUCAAGUCAUUUCUAAUGUUAUGUAUGACUUCUUCUUGUUGAGUCUCAGUGGAUCCCUGAACUCCAACACUUUGCUCCAGGAGUUCCAUUAGUUCUUGUCGGUACCAAAUUGGGUAAGAAACUGAUGAGCAUUUGCCUCUGCAUUGUUUCAGAUAUGUUGCAUGUAUUAUUGAUUCUUAGUUACUACAUCAAAAUGUAGAUCUCCGUGAGGAUAAGCAUUAUCUGACAUUGCUUAAAGGUUCUUAGAAUUCAUCUGUGUGAUUCAAAGUUAGCUCCUUUACUAGGGGGAUUAUGCAUGAACUAUGAUCCAGAUAUUUGUGUUCUCUUUCUCCUAACAAUCUUUCUUUAGAGUUGAUUUAUGCAAAACUGUGAAUUGGUUGUAAACAGGACUAUGUACCAACGGUUUUUGACAACUUUAGUGCAAACGUUGUAGUUGAAGGAACUACUGUGAACUUAGGGCUAUGGGAUACUGCUGGUAACCAACAUUUCUUUUCUUUUGAUUGAUUUGAGAUAUUGUUGCAUAGACCAAGAUCCUGUUUGGGUUGUGUUUUGUUUUGCAGGGCAAGAAGACUAUAACAGAUUAAGGCCUUUAAGUUACAGAGGAGCAGAUGUUUUCGUCUUGUCUUUCUCAUUGGUCAGCCGAGCUAGCUAUGAAAAUGUUUUUAAAAAGGUUUUGAUUCAUGCAUCUCUCUUUGAACUCAAUAAGACUUGUAACAAUGUCAAGUCAUUUCUAAUGUUAUGUAUGACUUCUUCUCGUUGAGUCUCAGUGGAUCCCUGAACUCCAACACUUUGCUCCAGGAGUUCCAUUAGUUCUUGUCGGUACCAAAUUAGGUAAGAAACUGAUGAGCAUUUGCCUCUGCAUUGUUUCAGAUAUGUUGCAUGUAUUAUUGAUUCUUAGUUACUACAUCAAAAUGUAGAUCUCCGUGAGGAUAAGCAUUAUCUGGCUGACCAUCCUGGACUAUCCCCUGUAACUACUGCACAGGUUUGAUCUCAGUAGAUUUCAGUAGCUUUGUGUGUGUAUGAGUUAAACGUUUUGGUAUGACAGGGAGAGGAAUUGCGUAAGCUAAUUGGUGCAACAUAUUACAUUGAAUGUAGCUCAAAAACUCAACAGGUAUAUAACAGAUUCAUUUACAUUGACUCGAGCUGCAUAGUCUUAGACAACUCUUGAGCGUUGAGAGUUUACAUUUUGCAGAAUGUCAAAGCAGUUUUUGAUUCGGCAAUCAAGGAAGUGAUCAAACCGGUGGUUAAACAGAAGGACAAGACCAAGAAAAAGAAGAAGCAACAGUCGAAUCACCACGGGUGUUUAUCGUGAGUGUAUACACAACAAACCUUCAUAGAUUUCUGCUUCUAGAUUCCUUUGAAAAAGAAACUGACUUCACCUCUUUGUUUUUGGACAGAAACGUUUUGUGUGGGAGGAUAGUGACUCGGCAUUGAUGAUAACCCAAACUCUGUCUGAUGUUUUGUAUUCCACUUUUGAGUUUGUAUGAUAAAUGAGAGACAUUAUAUAUAUAUAUAUAUAUAGAUUGAAUCAUAGUCAAUCAAUAGUUUACAUGGAAGAGAGAGAUAGAGAGCUUUUACUAUUAUUGUCAAACUCAAUUAUGUUUUAUUUGUUUCAAACCUGUCACUGCAAUAUAUAUCAUCAGCCAUUUUGUUGCAACAGAGAGUAAAAGUGUUCACUUGUUCGACACAUAACUACCACAAGUAGAACAAUCUAGAAAAGAGUUCUGACUAUAUAAUACAAACCAUGGCAAAUUUAAAUCUCUCAGUCUCAUAUACCAACAAUGCUUCAAGGACCAUCACCAUCAUUUUUCUUUCUUACAGCAGAACUUUAUAAAAAAACAUAAACUAAACACUCUCGUCUUGCCUUUUGGUCCAGAUACAUAGAUGUUAGACAAGGCAAAGAGUAGUGUGUUGUUUUUAAAAAGAUCACCUGGUAAAACUCUGGGAGAUGAGAGCAAAUAAACAAAGCGAUGAUGAUGACGGUCUUGGUUUAUCUAUCUGAGAGUUUUAUAAGCCAUGCCUGUGAAAAACAGAAACUGUUUGGAGGUGUAUCUACACGAAUGAUUGUAAAACAGAGGGGUCAGAUUUUCUUUUUUUUCCUAAGAAACUGUCCUUUGUGGCGUGCUGUCUGCUUUUAUCUUCAGAGUACCUAGAGCGAACAAGAGGAAUACGAAACAACGUCAGAGAACGAGAGAGAAACAAACAUGAGACAACAUAAGGUGAAAGAAGAGAGUAAAAAUAUGCUUACAGCCUUAGUGCAACGGCCUACAAAGAAAUUCACAGGUUUGUUAUUUGCCAUAACGAUUACUUAUAUCCUCCUCCAUCCCACCCACCGUCUGGUUCCUUCCUCUUGAGAGUACCACCUGACAUUUGAUACAUUCUUGCUUCGUCUCUCAAAGGUAAAGAGCCAGAGGAAGAUAGUUGUCUUUGUACGAGUGCUGCUUCAUCAGUUUCAUGCCCUCCUGGUCCAGAGUUCAAGUCAAGACCAGAUCUAAACCAUUUUGCAUUGUUGCUGCUGUCCGAAACUCCACCAUUGCUACUACCGUUUGGGAGAUUAACAACAUACGGCCUUGGGUAAUUAGAAGGGAUGGCAACUCCUGGACCCAAUAUUUGAGAGUUGACAGGAGGGAAGCAUAGCCUGCCACUUGAUGAAGAGUCCAU